rnacentral:rRNA from 2 species
GAUGAACGCUGCGGCGCGCCUAACACAUGCAAGUCGAACGGUUAAAGCACCUUUUAGGUGUGUAUAAAGUGGCGAACGGUGAGUAACACGUGGGCAACCUGCCCUCCUCUUGGGGAUAGCCUCGGGAAACCGAGGAUAAUACCCGAUACUUCAAUGUGGCCGCAUGACGACAUUGAGAAAGCUUUUGCGGAGAAGGAUGGGCCCGCGGCCUGUUAGCUUGUUGGUGGGGUAGAGGCCUACCAAGGCAAUGAUGGGUAGCUGGGUUGAGAGACCGACCAGCCAGAUUGGGACUGAGACACGGCCCAGACUCCUACGGGAGGCAGCAGUGGGGAAUCUUGCACAAUGGGCGAAAGCCUGAUGCAGCGACGCCGCGUGCGGGACGAAGGCCUUCGGGUUGUAAACCGCUUUCAGCAGGGACGAGGCGAAAGUGACGGUACCUGCAGAAGAAGCC